AUACAGACUCUGAAGUUUGUGUGGGAAGGAUAUUUCACCUGGCUUUCAGAAAGUAGUCCCUGGGUAAGAAUCAUAUGGUCAUUAUUUGCUUUAAGUGACUAGAUAAUCUGUCUGAUCCAGGAUACUUUGUGUGAACAUUUCAGGAUAAUAUUAACAGAAACAUUAAAAAUCCAACACUUAAAUUAUAUUUUAUACUGUCUUAUAAAUUCUGUGUUAUAUUUAUAACACUCUGAAUAUAAGAUUUUUAUAAUUCUUUCUAAUUACCACCUAGAAGUUUCCCAAGUAUUCAUGAUUUACAGCCACCUAAACUGAACAUGGUUAACAUUUAAAGUACCAGGGUCAGUAACUAUAAAUCAUAUAAUUUGAAAAUAACAACUCAUGAUGAAUGCAAACAGCCUUAUUUUCCAGAUGGAAAAAGGGUUAGGAAGGCUUAUAGGAACUGCUCAACAACAGGCAUACAUUUCUGGCAGGGUGGGACUAGAACCAAGCUCUCCUGACAGAGUCCAGGGUUCCUGUGAUUGACAAUAUAUUGCCAAACCACCCAUCUUUUGAUGCUGGUAUAUUUUAAUCUGGAAAAAUACUGAAAUCCAUUCCAUAACAGAAGUCUGCAUCUCUUUCCUUGAAUUGUAAAAAAGUAUGUGUGUGUAUAUUGUGUGUGUGUUUUUUUUCAUGCCUAACAUUAAAUGGAACCUUCUUCCCCAGCUUCUUAUCUGACAAUUUCACAAUUGUGAUUUGAAAAGAUGUACUUUCCACUAGCACGCCUAGAUUCCCCUCAUCAUUUCCUCAUCCACACACCGCAACUGACACCGAUUGCCCACAGAAAGUCGAACAGGUGUGAAAAAGAGGCACUAGCAACCAGAUACUCAAAGCCCGUCUAACAAACACGAAGCACUGUCGGCUGAGCAAGACACCACUCCCCCUGAAGACCUUUGCAAAUGCACAGGAACCUGGGAGAGUCUGGCGCAAGGGGAGAGGAGCUGCCCAGCCUCCGGUGACGCAACAGGCUGGGCUGCCGGACCUCCACAGCUGCCACUCGGGCCUCAAGAACGGCAUCUAACAACAAUCACCUCCGUUUCUGAUUUUGCAUCGGUCACCUGCCAGCUUGUCGAAAAAUGGCUGCCAGGGCCCCACCCUGAGGACUCUGACUCCAGGGGGUGAGGACCCAGGAGAGUGCAUUUGCAGAAGCUCCCACCCCCUCCAGUGACUGGUGCACGGGGUUAGGAGCAGCCCUGGUACACGGGACUCAAACAGCUGGGAUCUGGAAUCCUUGUGAUCCCUGGGCUGUAGUGAGUGAGCUGUCCACGGCCUCCCCUUACCUGCAAGUAUCUUAAGCCAGAAGCAAGCAGAACCACAUGCAGCUAUCCAAACAGCCCUGCCAAAAGGCAUUAGGGGAUUCGUGUACCAGAAAGAACCCAAAACUCCAGAGAUUGAUCCUGGGACCAUAAUUUCCUGAAAUGUUCAAGGAAGAAUAAAGGAAACCCUCAUCAUGGGUCACACUGAGUCAGAGAUCUAUGAGAAAAUGAGGCCUAAAAAGUAAAAGGCUGAAUCCUUAAUUGCCCCCCAGGAGAAGUUGGAAAACCUCAGGAUGGUCUAGAGCCCCACAGAGUCAUGGAGAUGCUCAAGAGAACAUCUCAGGGCUCUUUCCAUCUGGGUUCUUGGUUGAAAUGGCUUGUCAUAGACCCUGUAUCCUGCUGGAACCUGUGUGUUGUAUGUCGUCUAGGAUGGCCCAGGCUGCAAAGGAAUCCAGGACCAGCAGCUUCCAAAGCUCUCCACGAUGUUGUCUUCUUUGCUGGGUACCUGAGGGGAUGGCCAACUGCUGCUGCUUGCCUUCCCA